CCGGGCCGGGCCGGGCCUGCAGGGAGGUGUGCUCUCGCGACCGAGCGCCGGGUGAGGACCGGGUUUGAAUACAAGGCUUCACAGGUGGAGCCACGGGGUCUACAAGAGACCAGCCGCCACCAGACGAGAGUCCCCACCUCUCGGGUGACAUCCUUAGUCGCUCCUUUGGGUAGACCGAAGUGCGUUACGAGAAAGGGCUUCCGGCCCCACGUCACGCAGUAGCUGCGGUUUGUGAAGUUCUUUACAAAGGUAUACAUAACAAACGGACUGGUGUUGUGUUAUGCAGUUGUAUGUUAUGCAGAUCAUCGUGUAUACAUAACAGGUACUGAGUUAUCCACUGAUUUCACCUGGAGACAGGUAUGUGUAAUCUACUAGAGAACGUGUGUGUUAUAGGCCUCCCUCUGUGAUCCAUUUACAUAGGGUGGGUCAUUUAUAGUUCCCAGCCACAAAUAAUUAGUACUUAGUAGUCCGUGCGGAGCUGAGGUAUACUGGCCAAGAGACCAGUUCUAAAUUAAUCGGGGUAUUCAUUUGGGAUUUGAAUUUAUUUGAUUCUCAGAUGUUCAGAACCAGCUUUCUUGGAGCAAGGGGAAUGUACAACCCUUCAGAGAAUGUGCAUUACAAGCCCUUCUCUAUUCUUGGUCCACAAAGGAUAGCAGUUGUUACAGAAGAUGAGAACUUGGCUUUUAGUUUUGAAGGCUUUUAGUUUUCAAUCUUGUACAUUGGCUGAGAGGAUGUUGUCACAGCUGCUUAGCAUCUUGCAUCAUCAGAAAGCUCCUUUGCUUUAUACUUGAUAUGCACAAAUCACAUUUUCAGUGUAAGCCUGCCCCUCUCUGGAGCUUAGGUACCCAAGUCAGGGCUGCAGACAGGGUCCUCUCCACUUGGGAACCAGAGCUUGGAGUCCUCUCCUAACAAGGGAACUUUACCAGGCUCACUAUUUUUCUUUUAAAACAUGGACAACUGGGGGGGGGGGCAUCAUUCCCAUCUUUUAUGUAAUAACCUAGUGGUUUGAUCGCUCAGCUAGUAUGUGGGAGACCUGAAACCAAGGCUCUUCUCACCUGAGGGGGUUCCAACCCACUCUCACCUGUUAGGAGAAUGUUCUAAUGACCAAGGAAAGAGCCCAGGUUGGGAAGGGACACUGCACCUCUCCUAAUGAAGCUGUGCUACUCUGCAGAAAGGUAUGGAAGCUUUAUGGGGCUAGAAAGAGAGGGCAUAAGAGGAUGAUGCUGUGGGCUGGUAGCUAUAGCAUUCACCUGGGAGUGGGAAGCCUGGAGUUCUCAUCUUCCAAGGACUUACUCCAUUUUCUAUUAAACAAUCCUUGUAUAAAAUGCAUGAACAGUCACCAAAGCAGAGACCAGCUCCCAGGACAAUCCUGCUUCUCACCUCCAGUUCAGUCUGAGUCCACUUUCUUGAAGACAAGGCUAAUUUAACUCUCUGCGGACUACAUGUUAAGGCUCCAAUUCAGCAUGAUAUUUAAGCAGUUGCAUAACUUUGGACGGCUCUCCUCUCCAGCCAAAGGCUAGUUUGCAAACAUCUGUAAGGCACUGGCAUUCCCUGGCAAUGAGCAAAGAGACAGAGCAACUUUUUCUUUGACUAUCUGCUACUGCUGGGGUGUAAUUAAUCACCUUAGCUACCCUGAGGUUUUGUGCAUGGAUGAUGUAAACUUCUGGAGCAGAAUCAUGAACCACAACCAACAGGCAUUUUUUGGUAUCAAGCAUCCAAAUGAAUUGCUGCACCUAGGCCAGAUCUCGUACUGAAAGUGAGAGACAACCAAGCAGGCAAGAAGAGCUUACUCAGACUUAGCAUUACAGCUAUUUUACACUGGGAGAAGAAAGACUAAGAAGCAUUUUUACCCUCCUACUCUUUGACAAGUUCGAUGAGAGUGGAAGGGUGUAUACAAGGGGAAAUCUGAAUCAAACAUUACCUGUAAGAAACACCUCACACUAUUUGCAUGGUGGAGAGGCAGAAAAUGCCAGUCCAGCUGUGUAGGAUGAGAUCACCACACUGAUCUCACUGUUUUGAAUUCUCUCAUUUUACUGACUCUGUUUUACACAAUGUUUUCUCAAAGUAGGCCUAACAUUAUUGUAAAAAAUUAAAAAGGAAGAGAAUUUCA